rnacentral:rRNA from 1 species
UAAUACGUAGGUGGCAAGCGUUGUCCGGAUUUACUGGGCGUAAAGCGAACGCAGGCGGACUGUUAAGUAGGAAGUGAAAGGUCGGAGCUCAACUCCAACAUUGCUUCCUAUACUGGCAGUCUUGAGUAGCGGAGAGGAAGGGGGAACGACACGUGUAGCGGUGAAAUGCGUUGAUAUGUGUCGGAACACCCAUGGCGAAAGCACCCUUCUGGACGCAAACUGACGCUCAGGUUCGAAAGCUAAGGUAGCGAACAGGAUUAGAUACCCUGGUAGUCUUAGCCCUAAACUAUGUUCACUAGGUGUCGGGGGGUUUCCUUCGGUGCCGCAGCUAACGCAUUAAGUGAACCGCCUGGGGACUACGGCCGCAAGGCUG